CCUGAUCCAGCCAUGCCGCGUGAGUGAAGAAGGCCUUCAGGUUGUAAAGCUCUUUCGGCCGGGAAGAAAUCGUGCAGGCUAAUACCCUGUAUGGAUGACGGUACCGGCAUAAGAAGCACCGGCUAACUACGUGCCAGCAGCCGCGGUAAUACGUAGGGGGCGAGCGUUGUCCGGAUUUAAUGGGCGUAAAGGGUGCGUAGGCGGCCUUGUAAGUCAGAUGUGAAAGGCUACGGCUCAACCGUAGUAAGCAUUUGAAACUGCAGGGCUUGAGUGCAGGAGAGGAGAGUGGAAUUCCUAGUGUAGCGGUGAAAUGCGUAGAUAUUAGGAGGAACACCAGUGGCGAAGGCGACUCUCUGGACUGUAACUGACGCUGAGGCACGAAAGCGUGGGGAGCAAACA
rnacentral:rRNA from 2 species